rnacentral:tRNA from 1 species
GCCUAUAUUGGCCUAUGUCAACGGUUUUGUAAUUCGUAGGUUUGGGGUUCGAUUCCCCACAUCGGCUCCA